UCCCAAAAUGGGAAUAUCAAGCCCUGGUCCUGUGCUACAUGACUCCAGGACAGCAUUUGUCCCAGACUCCCAGUAUCAUGCAGUGAUCCAGGUUUUCCAUUCACCAUGGAAAAAUGCAGGAAAUGGGUUUCUUCUUGCAGGCUGGCACAGUUCUAGCCUGCAAGGGGCUGCAGGGGGUGCCACAUGCAUGUGUGCAUGCGUGCACAAGAAUGUGGCCAGGAAUUCAGUCCCAGGCAGCAGUCGAGAGCAGCUCCCCCAGCUGCCUGCAGUAACUUCAGGCAAGCUUCAAGGCUCUGCUAAGUUGAAUUCAGAGUGAACAUUGCCACCAUGUGGGAGAAAGGAGUAACCAGGAAAAGUAAUGCAAAAGAGACUAUUAAGCUGUAUAUUCUUCUAAAUCCUAUAUGAAAGUUAGGAGAGAACUAAUUUGGGCACUUGUUAAAAUUUGCCCUUAAAAACCAGUGAGUGCAUACACCAGACAAAGUUGAGGCUUCUUGGUGAUACAAUCAGAAAUAGGGUGUACGUGUUCCUGCGAAACGGUGCAUAACUUAAAUUUGCAUAAAGCGAACCUACUUUACAAUGUAACAAACAGGGAUACAGUCCAAAACCAUGACUGUACUAACUCCUAGACCCAUUUCUACCACUCUUACAAGGCAAUUUUGGUACUCGCCAGCGACAGAUGGUACACACAAGCACAGGGUGAUGGUGAAUGUUACCGUAACGGGGAUGGCAACUACAGAAACACAUAUCGCAGACAACGAGUGAGGAGCACAGAUCCAUACAGGAGACUGUAUUUUGGUGCACAUCACUCCCACCAUGCCCUGCACAAAGGAGCUGACUGAGAGCUUCCAUCACACUGAUCACAUAAGAGUGAAUUUAUCUCGCAUAUCACGAAUUUUUGGUAUAAAAAGGGUCAUCGCAUAAGAGCAAAUUCGUACAUACAGAACCUGCAUAAAACAAGGGAAACUUGUAUUUGUGCUAAGUACUGUGGCCAGUCAAAUAGCUUUUCAGUAUUGACCAUGCAAAAGUACUUGUAUCAGUUGCUCUUAGUAAGUGACAAGCAGAAAGAAGAAAAGGAACAAGGAAGAAACUUGGAUGAAGCUGGGUUGUGACUCCUGAUAUUCUUAAAGAUUUCAUAGACUUUAGGGCUGGAAGGGACCUCGGAAGAUCAUCGAGUCCAGCCCCCUGCCCAAAGGGCAGGAAGUCAGCUGGGGUCAUAGGAUCCCAGCAAGAUAAGCAUCCAGUUUCAUCUUGAAGGUGUUCAAUGAAGAUUAACUUCUAUCCACCCAUAGGGGAAAAUAUACAGGCUUGUAAUCUUGGAAUUUAAAUUUAUCUGAACAACUUAAAUCCUUUCAGUUUACGGCAGUUGACUUUUCUUGGCUGUGCUUGUAUAACCAUCGGUCCCUGUUAACUGGAUUGGACACCAGGAAAAAAGGCAUUUUAGUAAUUGAGUCAAAGGCAAAGACCCAAAUAUCUGAAUUGAAGAGAAAAGAAUCCUGGCAAUGUUUCUUGGGUGUGGGAGGCUGAUUUCACUGCAGUGACUAACUAUCUAAAUGCCUAAAUCAGGAGGAACACUGGGGCCAUAUUGUCCCUCAUAUCUGGAAUACCUACAUACUCUUAAAUAAAUGCACAGAGAUAAAGACUGAUGGGGAGUACAUUUCCACUUCCUGGUCUUAUGGAUUUCAUGUACUUUGGUCCCAAUCUUGAUCUAAAUAGGAACCUAAAGGCUAAUUAUGAGUUUGGUGUAUGGUUUCUGGAUGAUGAUUGUAGAACAAUAGUAACCAUGGGUGCCUAUUCAUAUGUCCCAGGGUGGGGGAGGAGGCAUUUUAAUUAGACCUGCAGUGUCUCACGUAUUCAGUAUCCUAUGUUUCAAAAUGGUAGCAGGGGCACUUUAACUAAAGCUCACUGAAGCUCACUGCCAUUGUGAAACAAGGGAUACUGAAUACACGAGAUGCUGGAGCAUUCUGAUUAGAACACCGCAGCGUGCUCAAUUAAUUGAAUCUGUUCUGACAUGUUUUAAUUGGAACACAUCUGAGCAUGUGCAAAAAUGCCCCGUUAUGUCAAUGUUGCUAGGGAUAUUGACACGAAGCUGUAGGAACUAGUUCUCAUACUAAUGGAAAACUGCUGCACACAAGCAGAAUCUUCUGCUGGCCAGUCUGAAUAGGUUAAAAUGGCUGUGUCAAUGGCUCCAGACUUCAUAGACAAGACCCUAUCUAUGCUACUUCCACAGUUGUCAUCAGGACUGUUACAAUACCAGUAUUCUCCUAGUCUAGUUUCUUUACACAUCCUUGGGAGGGGCAGGGGUGCACUUUAAUUAAAGUGCUCACAACAUCUUGCAUUCAGUUUCCCUGUGCUUCAAAAUGGCAGCAGGCUUAUUUUAAAUAAAGUUAAUUUGCUCUUUACUUAAAGCACCCCUGCCACCAUUUUGAAGCAUGGGGGCGCUGAAUACAUGAGACUUGGAUGCUGCUGGAGCUCACUAAUUAGCACACUCCAGUGGACUCGAUUAAUCUAGUCUGCUCUGAUGUGCUGUAAGAGUGCAUCAGAGCAGAUUCCCUGCAUGUGUACAGGCAUCCUUAGUCUUUAAACGCAGAUUAAGAACAAAUCUCAUGGAAAAACUUUCCUAAUUGUAAGAACAGUAAGCUAAUGGAACAAUCUGCCUAAAAAAUUGAGGAAUCUCUUUCAUCAGAGGCUUUCAAGGAUGGGCUGAAAAGGCAUAUGGGACAGUUUAGGAUGUGCACACAGGUUAGACUAGAUGACCUUUUGGGGGCCCAUCCAACCCUAUGAUUCUCUCCUAGUUCUAAAAUAUGGCUAAGACCAUGUCUAGACUCCAAAUUGACAGAAGGUUGCAACUGUUCCUUUAAAGACACAAAGUGAGGGCAGUUUUCUCAAAGGUGAUGAAUCAAGCAUGUUUAAGUUGGUAUCUCACAGACUUAAAAAAAUUUGAUUAUAGUGUAUUACAAAAUGCUUCUAUUUAGGAAAGACAAACUAAAUGGUAACUGGAAUGUCUAAUAGUAUUGGGUUGUUGAUUGUAUUUCUCUGUUUUCCCUUAAUGAGUAGGGUUUACGAUGGACUAAUUUUAUGGAAUUGAAACACUGCCAGAACGUGGACAUACAAGGAGUUUAUGCAACAAAUGGGGAGAGUUUAUUGACACAGGUGAAGGCAAUGUCAGUAAGUAGAGAGCUGAGGGAACAGACUCUGUAGGUCUAAUGCUAUUUUAUACUAGCUACUUGACCUUGUUUGGCCACACAAAGAAUAAACUAGAGAUCACCCAUACAAAAGUGCCCAUAGUAGGGGGAUAGUGUUGUGCUCACACCUCUUCUUCUGGGAUGCUGGAGCUUGGUCCUUCCCUAGCAGGGCAGACUUGGCAGCCAGGGGUGGAUUAAGAUUCAUUGGGGCCCCGCAGCUGGCCCUGCCCACAAGUCUACACUGGAGCUGGUGCUGGGGGUGCAGAUCUGCUGCCCACUGGGUACAUGCAGCACAAACUGAGCUCUGGGGGUGGCCUCUUGCCCCACGGCAGCUCAGUCCAGCUGUAGCAGCUCCCGGCAAAUGGUGCCCAGCAGCCAUGGCCUGCCACAUCAUGCACACCCUGCCCAGCUGCCAGUUUCAUCAGGCAGGGACCCCUGGGCCUGGGCCCAGCUGGCCUGUGUGUUAAUCUACCUAUGUGUAUGAAUAUAUAUUGUAUAUAUAAUUCAAUCAAUGUGUUUGAAUCUAUAUAUCAAUAUAUUUGCAUUUGCCAGAGUAAGUCUGACCAGUAAACCUGACUCCUCACAUAAAUAAAACUUGGUAUGUGGGCCAGAUGUGCAUACCUACUAAAAGAUGGGAGGGGGAGAUGGUUUUACAAGGUGUAGGAUAGUCCAGUACCAGGAUGAUGAGGCUGGAAUGGGAACAACCAGGUCAGGAUGUGAAACAAGCCCAUGGUACAGGAUAGUUUGAGAUGUUAAAGAUACAGAUGAAAUGGAAUAUGUAAUUUGUUUUCACCCUUGUAUAAAAGGAGGGUUAGAAAGUAUAGGAACUUUGUAGCAGCCUGGGAGAUGCUGCAUGGUGUUGUGCUACCUUGUUACAGAUACAAAUAUUAAUUAAUUCCUUGUCUGUUGUACUUGUUAGACCAAAAUGUGUUAGGGCUGUACUUGUAUACAAUAAACCUUGCCAAAAUCUUUGCCACCAAACUGAACCCAUGGUUGUUCUUUAAGACAAGACUGGUGUA